UAUCUACACCAUAAAAUGUGGGGGAUUUAAAGGCUAUGGGAGACUCCCUUUGAAAACUACUCCAGAGACAGUCUUUUUAAUCCAGGAUACUUGAAGUGGAUAAAAUGAGAUUGCAAAAGGGAUGUAAAAAUGGAAUUUGGUGAACAACUUCAGGGAAGCAACCAUGACGAAAGACGCUUACUUUUCACCGCGUGUUGUGCAGAACGUGCUGGGGAACAGGGAAGGCUGUGUCACAAGUGAGUCUGGACUAGUCCACAGGUGAGAAAGGACACCUUAUUGGAGAUUAUGGCAAUUAAGGUCAAUCAUCCAUCUAUCUACUCAUCUCAAAAAUAUUUGAAAAAGUGUCUUCUGUGAGUGAUGUUGGGAACAUAUGGAAUCCACUGACUUCAGGAAAUAUUUUCAGAGUGCACACAUAUUUCUUCAAGACGUUAACAUCCCAGGGGAGGAGGAGGAAUAAAAACAUGACAGGGAGUAAUUUAAAAUGGCAGGUACUGCAGUUUUCUCUUCCUGUGCUUGA